rnacentral:lncRNA from 1 species
ACAUGUGGCGGCCACUGCAGCUGGAAACUACGUUGAUGGUGUUUCAUUCUUUGGCUACGCUCCAGGAAUGGCGAGAGGAGUGGCUCCACGUGCUAGGCUUGCUGCAUAUAAAGUCCUCUGGAAUGAAGGAAACCUUGAAUCCGAUGUUCUCGCAGGUAUUGACCAGGCUGUGGCUGAUGGAGUUGAUGUACUGUCAAUUUCUCUGAGUUAUGGUAGGACUAAUGUGUAUGAAGAUCCUAUUGCCAUAGCUGCAUUCGGUGCCACAGAGAAGGGAAUCUUUGUUUCUACUUCAGCAGGAAACAGCGGACCAGAUUUCGGAACUUUAAUAAAAGGAAUCCCCUGGGCAGUGUUAGUGGCUUCGGGAACUGUUGAUCGUUGGUUUGCCGGGACCUUAACUCUAGGGAAUGGUUUGUCCAUCACCGGAUGGAGCUUGUUUCCCGCUAGAGCCAC